AUCAUUAAGAGAGUAUGUGUGAGUGUGCACUACAUUGUAUAUAUAUAAUGUAGUGCACACUUACACAUACUCUCUUAAUGAU